GGUAAUGUAGCUCAGUGGUGGAGCACUUGCCUAACAUGCGAAGCCCUAGGUUUGAUCCCUUGUAUUUCCA
rnacentral:tRNA from 1 species